AUUGAACGCUGGCGGCAGGCUCAACACAUGCAAGUCGAGCGGGGGAAGGUAGCUUGCUACUGGACCUAGCGGCGGACGGGUGAGUAAUGCUUAGGAAUCUGCCUAUUAGUGGGGGACAACAUCUCGAAAGGGAUGCUAAUACCGCAUACGUCCUACGGGAGAAAGCAGGGGAUCUUCGGACCUUGCGCUAAUAGAUGAGCCUAAGUCGUAUUAGCUAGUUGGUGGGGUAAAGGCCUACCAAGGCGACGAUCUGUAGCGGGUCUGAGAGGAUGAUCCGCCACACUGGGACUGAGACACGGCCCAGACUCCUACGGGAGGCAGCAGUGGGGAAUAUUGGACAAUGGGGGGAACCCUGAUCCAGCCAUGCCGCGUGUGUGAAGAAGGCCUUAUGGUUGUAAAGCACUUUAAGCGAGGAGGAGGCUACUCUAGUUAAUACCUAGGGAUAGUGGACGUUACUCGCAGAAUAAGCACCGGCUAACUCUGUGCCAGCCGCCGCGGUAA
rnacentral:rRNA from 1 species